rnacentral:rRNA from 1 species
UCCGACCUCAGAUCUGACGAGAUUACCCGCUGAAUUUAAGCAUAUCAC